rnacentral:lncRNA from 1 species
GAACAAAACGUUACAUUAUUGAAUAAACAUUAAACCAGACUGCGAUGUGCGUCACAGGCAACCCACUAAUGAGUUUAUGAAGACAGGAAGAACUAUCAUUUUUUGUAUUAGCCGGUCUGGUACAACGCAUUCCAUUUCCUCAAGCAUAAGGAAUAAAACUGUUCUUUUGAAAUGAAGAAGAGAACCACCUAGGAGACUAUCACCCUGACCUGAGGACUUCACUAGGGAUUCAGGAAAGAAGACACAGAAAGAAAGCAAUCCUCA